AUACGGAGGGUGCAAGCGUUACUCGGAAUCACUGGGCGUAAAGCGCGCGCAGGCGGCUAUUUAAGUUGGAUGUGAAAGCCUACGGCUCAACCGUAGAACUGCAUCCAAAACUAUUUAGCUAGAGUGUGGGAGAGGAAGAUGGAAUUAGUUGUUUAGGGGUAAAAUCCGUAGAGAUAACUAGGAAUACCAAAAGCGAAGGCAAUCUUCUGGGACACUACUGACGCUGAGGCGCGAAAGCGUGGGGAGCAAACGGGAUUAGAAACCCCAGUAGUCC
rnacentral:rRNA from 1 species